GGGGCGGGGGGUGGCCAAGGAUGCUGUUGGCAAGCGAAGGCCGUGCUGGGGCCUCCUGCGGUUCUGGCUUCUGAGCCCAGACUAGAGAAACCCCUCUGGAGACUUCGUGAAGCUUGGCUGGUCGGUUUCCUGGUUGGUGACUCAGGGGUGGAAAUGGUUUGGGGAUUUUUGUCCUUGUUUUGUUUUCUUUGGAAUCAGGCGCUGCGUAAACACGCUCAGGCUCCGGGGCUGUAAGGCCCUCCGUCCCCUUCGGCGUGCUCUGAUUGUGUGUCUCCAGCCGGAUUGUGAGGAGGCUGAUCUCUGUGUAUUUACCGGUAAACCUCAGUCUCUCAUCUGUAAAAUGGGGCUACUCAUGCCUUCUUGCAGGUUUGCCGUGAGUCUUAGAGGUUUGGGGUCCAGGUUUGGUUGCAAACCCUCCCAUCCACCCUUCCCCCUUCCUGGGCUCUCUCGGAAAGGAUCUUACUUGCAAAGAGCGAGAUCUGGAGGAGAGGGUGACCUCUUCCUUCAAAAGCCCAACAAGCCCCUGAUAAGCCCCUCCCCCUGGGGACCCCUUGUUUCCUCCCAUCGAGUCCAGAGCAGGCUCUCAGGGGCAGCCCGAGAGCCUGUUCGUGCAGCCGGGAUGACGAUGCUGAUCUCACCUCCAGGGCCAGACGAGCCCCACCCAGUGCGCUCCUCGUGGAGGCUGGGAGCGCAAGAGGAAGUUGGAGGAAAUGAACAAGGGAAGUUCACAGAGGGAUGGGGUCCUUUCUCUCUUAUCAUCACAAACCCAAAAAUGAAAGAAGAGGGGCUGCCUUUGCCGUCCUUGAUCCCUGCCUGUUGAAUGUCCCUGAGUGCAACUAACUAGCACAGCUACCCAUCUGUAGGGAGCCCAGAACUGGGAUGGGAAGCGGGAUGGAAGUGCCCCACACUGAUAGCAGAGGAGGAAACAAGAGGACCGGAGGGAGAGGGAUCGCCUUCCUGGUGAGGAGAGUUAGAGAUGACAAAUCUGGAACCGCCAGCAUGCUGGUGGGCCCGGGGGAGGGGCUUCCCAAAGGGGAUCUGUUGCUUGUAGUAGGGCUUUGCCGUGCCCAGAUUGGAUGUACGUGCUGAGAUGAAGGGUCCCAGUUAGUGUGCUCUUGUGGACCACUUUCCUGAGAACCACACAAAGCAGGUGGCCUUCCUGAGCAUCUUCAUCAAAACUGGCAACGUUUCUGGCCUUCACUUGCCCACGUGUCUGGUGAACCCACGGAUGUGCCAUCGGCAUUUAAAAAUAUGACCUCCGAAAUUUGUGCAGUGCUUUAAAAUUUAUAGUGAAUUUCCUCAUAUGUCACUUGAGCCUCGUUCGCCUGUGACCCAGCGGUGGUCUGGGUGUCCUCACUGGAGCUGAGGAGACUGGUGCUCAUACAGUAAGCGCACGGCGAGGCGGGACGUGGUCUUCACCUCCACAUCCGGGCUCCUUCCUGUAACCGUGAUGCUUCUUCCGCCCCGCCGUCCCAGGCCUGUAACGCGCCUGGCCACUUUCUCAUUGCCUCUGCAUGGGAGGUGCCCUGUGCGGCCUCCUGUGUCUUCCGAGGGUUAGGGAAAAAGGCUUUCAGCUUUGGUGAAGGUUCACAGAAAAGUGGGAUCCAGAAGUGUCUUGGAGUCUGGCGCAGGUGCCAGAAGAGUCUGGCAAGUGCGUUGGCCACGCUGACUCAGCCCGUCCCCCAAGAUCCCACACUUUGGAUGGAUGUUGCAAUGACUCUGGCAGCCCUGUGCGCUGCCCUUGGCCUCACAGGCAUUCCAGUGAUGAUGAUGGCUUGUCGGGGUCAUGGCCCUGGUACCGAGCACGGCUCUUUGCGGCUGAUGGAAAACAUAACUGGAGCCACCUGCUUGCGAGGCUGGCUUCUCAGGCUCUGGGGCCUGGAACCGGCUGGAGGGAGACGUUCCUAUCGCUGCGUGUAGCGAUUGUCAGUCACAUCUUUUCCUGUAGGUUUCCCCAAGCAAUUGGAAAAACCAGGGCCUCAGCUACCCUGCCGUGUACGACCAGGCCACUCAGUCUCUUCUUCCCGCCCUGGGAGCUGGAAGGUCUGUCUUCCGUCUCUUUGUCUGUCUGAUCCCUCCUUCCUCCCUGGAGUCUCACGCCCGGGUGCACAGGGCCCUGCCGUGGUCACUCAUGGAGCUGCUUUAUUAAAUCCCCACGUGCCGUUCUUGGAUGGCUUUGUGCGUGGUUAUCCUGACUGCGUUCCUUGGGGCCAGAUGCCGGGUCUGCCGGGUCCUUCCUCUGCCUCCACGUGCCUGGGUGUGUGGGCAGAGUGAGUGGUGACAAAUUCAUCUCGUGGAACGUGGUGGAAGGUUAUAGGCCAGGGGCAGAUCUGGGAGCCCAGAGGUACGGUUUUGUUACCAGGACCAAUUCCCCACCUCUCUGGGUUUCCGUCCUUCCCUGUGCAGUGGAAGCGUUGAAGGAGUGAUCUCCGAGCCCCAAACCUAAAAUUCUAGGACUAACGAUGGAUUCCUUGAGAGGGCCUCCGUGCUUUGGCUGCGUGCAUGCCCUGUAUUGCAGCCUGUUGGGCUGUCUUUGGCUUGUCACCAGCAUCUGUGACUUGGCUGCCCGGAACUUUAAAAAAAAAGAAACCCUCUUCAUAUCUCAGAGGGAGGCCCCAGCGAGAACAGGAGAACAGUGUGGAGUGUUUGGAAGCGGACAAGCCUGAAAAUACCCUGGUCCCAUCAUUUACUAGUGUGAUCUCGAGCAGGUUACCUCAGUAAACCCACCUUCUCAUCAGAAACACAGAGUUCAUGAGAGCAGCCUCACAAGGGGAUGGAGGAAUAAGGGCAGGUUUGGUGCACACGCAGCGUCAAUGCUCAGUAACAACGGCGGGAAUAAUACUUACUGUAAUUGGGAAGCGAAAGGGUGUGUCUUCUAAUCCUCUGUGAGCACUUUCUCAUUUGUAAACUAUCGGUUGUAGUUUGGGACAAUGCCUUUCUCAUUUUCGUAAGCGGCGUAAUGAUUUGAGGAGAAUCAUUUCGGUUCUAAUAAGAACACUAGCCGUAUAACGAUGCACGAUGGCAUUUGAAUAGAGUUCCGUCAUUCAUGGAAUUGGAGAGACUUACAAAAACACACCUUGACUCUCUGGAAUCUGAGAUCUCUGGUGAGUGAUUCAAACAGACUACUCUUACUUCCUGCCAGCAGAAAUCAAUCAAGUGCAAACCUUUACUUUUCAACCAAAUUGUGGAAAAUGGAACACAUUCCAUGAUAGGAAACUGUUUUAAUGAGACACUUCAUUCUUGAGGUGAUUUGCUAAAGGGAGGCUCUCCAGGUUGCCACUGACCUACCAAAAGCGACAGACUCACAAUCGUAUAUGCUUUUCUUUUCCCCAGCAGUUCUGGGUUUAAGUAACUGAAGCUUCUCAAAUAUUAAAGUUGGAGGGUGGCUCAGUGAUCCAAGCAGUGAAGACUAAAAAAAGACUUCGGGUGUAAAUCAAAAUUUUCUAACUGCCUUGUCCCAGGAUGCCAGGAAAGUCACUUGGUAGCCUUGGAUAUCUCGAUCUUACCAACUCCAACUUUGGCGCGAUGAACGUAACUCAGCUUUAGAGAGUAUUAGUGAGGAAAUAAAAAGUUAGGUGAUCUUUUUCAGUUUAAGUGAAAAAAAAUCUAUGUUGAGUAUUACCUUUUAACCCUAGUGUGUGUGUGUGUGUGUGUGUGUUAGCCAGAAGUUCAAGUUUCUGUAAAGGUUUCCAGCACAAAAUGUCUUUCAUUUUGUGAUCUUUGUGUCUUUCAUUUUGUGAGUUUGAUCAAAGACGCAGAGAACAGACGUGUGGACACCAAGCGGGGAAAGCAGGGCGGGGGUGGUGGUGGGAUGAACUGGGAGAUUGGGAUUGUCAUAUAUACACUAAUCUGUAUAAAAUAGAUGACUAAUAAGGACCUGCUGUAUC
rnacentral:lncRNA from 1 species